CAGCAAGGAGGGACGCCAAUAUGGCGUCCGAUAAGAUAAGUCCCAUAAAAUAUAUAGAUGUUGAAAUGAAAUGCCCUCCGCAUGAGCUGGAAUACAGAAAUGCCACACCCCACCCCACCCCAGUUCCAUACAUUCAAGAGAAAAAAUGUAUGUAUCAAGCAUGGGAAAGAAGGGGCAGAACAAAACUUCAUUGGCAAGAAAGAAAAGAUGGAAGAGAAGGAAAAGGAAAGCCUGGCCUAGCCUAUGUGUUGAAGAGGCCUCCAACAAGGGUAACACCGACACAUCCUCCAUGUUCUAUGCUUUCAGGGCAUAGAAACCACAUGCCUGUACAGAGAGAAGUGCCAGCAUUAAAGAGGGCUUUAAUUUUUCCUCUGUUGAGCAUCGUUUGCACAACCGCCACUCUAAUGUGCCAUCAAACAUAGACAUCCUUCUGUGUUCUUCAGAGGUUGGCUGCUAGAUACCCUGCAAAGUGAGGAACACCAGACUUCAUACUGCCAGUCCCCACAUGGUGAGAGUAUCACACUGCAUAAGCCAAACCAGGAAAAGAGCAAACGUACAAUUUCUGUGGAAUUCACAUCAUUUUUGUACCAUCAUGAAGCUGAAAACUUAUCUGGAAUGCCUCACGGAGACUCAUGCUGUAAGCUCUCCAUGCUGUCUUGGGAGGUUAUGGAGCCUUUGGGAGGUGAGUCCUAGAUUGAACACACAGGCCACUAGCAGGCCUUCAAAGGCUCAGAUCUGCCUUGGGUUUUGUUCUGGCUUUGUGUUUCCUGGUCCAGCCUUCAUGUGACCAUUGCCAUUAACACUACUCUCUCUGCCUUCCCGGCUGCCGUGGCCCAAAGGUCUCCCUCUUUAAGUUGCUCCUGCCUGGUAUUUUAUCUCAGUGAUGAGAAAAGUCACCAAUCAUCGUAAAUUGGCAACCAGUUGUAUAUGGGAAUGCUUUUGAACCCACAGCCCAGUUCCUGAGGGGCAUCAUGUGUUUUGGAAUUAGACUACUAACACAAACACACAGAAAUAAAUACAAGCUAAAGUCUAAGAAAAAGGCUUCUGUUCAAGAUGAAAGGGAAGGCCACUGGAGAGGAUGAGAAAUGAGGAAGUAACACAGCUGAAAUGAAUGAGAAACAAGAAAAGUGGUGAGAAACAUGAAAGCCUAUAGGGACAUACCGUAAGACUUCAAGGACUGGGGGAAGGGGGAGUUCCAAGUUCAAAGCUAUACUAUUAUCAUGCUUGGGGACCAGAAGCAAAUGACUAGUUUGCUACUUUUAGUAGCACCUGAUAGAACAGUGAGGGACAGGGACUUGGGAGAGUCAUUUUCAGUGUCAGAAGAGUGGACCAGUGAGAUAGGCAUCCUAGAGCUUCUCUGUUCCUCCUCUAUUGGCAUUUGCUUCUUCUUUACCUCCUGGAGUCAUUGUACUGUACCUCUACAGAACAAGAGGCACUGAUUCACCUUGUAGUCAUUAUGCUUAUCAAUCAUCUACCCAAUUCACACCAUAUAAAGCUCACCCAUCUCUGUCUGUCAUUAGGCAUCUUGUGGUGUCAUUUCCUUAAUCUUCCGUCUUUCCCUCAGUCUCUCAGCUUUAGCUCCUCCUAUUGCUCAUGCUCUGAGAGAACACACUAUUAAACCAUUCAAAUUCA